GCCGCCGCGAGUCCUGCCUGAGGCAGGCGUUUGUUUCAUUCUGUGCUUUCUGGAACACUUUUUGUGGUCAAGAUGAUACGAAACUGCCGAGCCCAAACACAAACCGUGUUCCUCAUUACUAAGCAGAAUGCAGCUGCGCUAGGAAGCCACCGCUGCUGCCGCCCCCGCACGCUGCCAAAUGUACUGGCCUGACCACGCCUCCAGGGAGCAUGGUGCACGUGAUUCAGUGUCACGCGUCGAGGAAUCUGGGACACAACCGCAGCGUCAGCAGGCCCUUAGACCAUUCUUCAGUAGUCACCAGCAGGAUACCUCGAAAAAAAAAGAAGAAAACCAUACACCCAGCCAUCCAAACAACAAACCUCAAAGUAAGCCAUCCACCCAAGAGACCAUCCAGCCAGCCAGACAGUCAAUGAACCUUCCAAUAAAACAACCACUCAGCCAGACAGCCAGCUACAGAACCAGAUAGCCAAAGAACCUUCCAGCAGCAGAUCCAGCCAAUGAACCUUCCAGUGUCAGAUCCAGCCAGACAAACAGCCAGCCAUACGCCAAAGCCUCCAGCCAUCCAGCCAGCCAGACAGCUAGCAAGCCAUCCAGUUACAUAUCCAUCCAGUCUUCCAGCCAUCCAGACAACUAGCUAAUCUUCCAGUAACAAAUCCAGCUAGUCAUCCAGCCAGCCAGACAACCAGCGAACCUUCCAGUAACAAAUCCACCCAGCCAGUCAUCCAGCCAGUCAUCCACCAGAGGCAGCAGCCAUCCAGCCAUCAGGGCAAUCAGCGGCCGCCACCACCGCCACCGCCGCCGCGACAACACCCUGGGCACGGCGAUGAGGCGGCGCGGCGAUAGGAUCAAGCCGCCGCCACCCGCUGAUUAAUGUCCACCCUUGCCGACAGGUGGCGCUGAUCAAUUAUAAUGUGCCUCGCCCGCUGCCUGCCGCCUCACACCUCCGCCGGGCACACCUCUCCCGGGUCACACCUUAUUGCGUCACCAGCCCUCAUUCGUCUGUUGGGUCUUAUUUGUCUUUUAGCUCUGUUUUGUUUGAUUUGUCGAGGGUGAUGCGAAAUUAUCUUAAGGUCGUGUUUUUUGUUUUUUUUUAUGUAUUGGGCACACCUCUCCCUGGCCACACCUUAUUGUGUCACCUCCCCUAUUCGUCUUUUGGGAUUUGUUUGUCACUCAGAUUAGUUUUGUUCGGUUUGUGUGUGAGAUCAUGGUGGUAAUAAAACUGUAUCUUAA